rnacentral:rRNA from 1 species
GACGAACGCUGGCGGCGUGCUUAACACAUGCAAGUCGAACGGAAAGGCCCUGCUUUUGUGGGUUGCUCGAGUGGCGAACGGGUGAGUAACACGUGAGUAACCUCCCCUUGACUUUGGGAUAACUUCAGGAAACUGGGGCUAAUACCGGAUAGGAGCUCCUGCUGCAUGGUGGGGGUUGGAAAGUUUCGGCGGUUGGGGAUGUACUCGCGGCUUAUCAGCUUGUUGGUGGGGUAGUGGCUUACCAAGGCUUUGACGGGUAGCCGGCCUGAGAGGGUGACCGGCCACAUUGGGACUGAGAUACGGCCCAGACUCCUACGGGAGGCAGCAGUGGGGAAUAUUGCACAAUGGGCGGAAGCCUGAUGCAGCAACGCCGCGUGCGGGAUGACGGCCUUCGGGUUGUAAACCGCUUUCGCCUGUGACGAAGCGUGAGUGACGGUAAUGGGUAAAGAAGCACCGGCUAACUACGUG